AAGUCGUAACAAGGUUUCCGUAGGUGAACCUGCGGAAGGAUCAUUAAUACGUAUCCACGUAUCCAAACCAAAUUGUGAACUUGUUUUCCCAGUAUUGGAUGAGAGUAUUUGCGGUUCCAGUUUACCUUCGUUGAAGAGGGUAUUGAUGAUGUGCAACUGGCCGGUCCUAGUCUUUUGAUCAAACAAUCCAACAUUGAAGCAAUUCUUGUUGGUUCUUGGUCACAGAUUAGCUCAUCCAACUGUGGCUCAAAAUCUUGACACAUCAUCAUUUUCUAACUUUUAACCCCCAUGUACAACAUUCUGAACUGAAAACUUGUUCUUUGCUUCAACAAGCAAAGUCCAAAAUCCGAAAUUAUGAAACAACUCUUAACAACGGAUAUCUUGGUUCUC
rnacentral:misc_RNA from 1 species